UUGCUGAAUUAGUGGAACUACGUCGUUUUGUGAUUAAUGAAACAGAAUUUCGUUGACAGCCGCUGCCUUUGGUCGGGUAAUGUUCGAAAGCCUCAUUUUCCCAUUGUGCAAGCCUCGAGCUAGGGCAAAGCAAAGAGCGAGAGAGGAAUUGCAAAGCUCGGAAGCUUCAUGGCUCGUGCCAAUUACCUAGAGAGGAGAAAGAUGACCGGAGGCACGUGCGGAGGUCGAACUGGCGAGGAAACUGAAGUGAUCAAAGGGUGUAGAAGUGAAUUUGUGACCAAAGUGAAGAUAGCCGUUGGAUGAAAAAGAAGAUACGACGAAGGUUCUUUCAUUUUUUUUCUUUCUUUCUUUCUUUCUCUGUUCUAUCUUUGAAUCUUCUAUAAAAGGGGCUUUUAUCAUGUAAAUAGCUAGAAACACUUAUACCCUUUACACACUUUUUCAGAUACAGUCUUACGCUGUGUAGAUUAGGGUUUUUUACGUUUUAUAUUGAGUAGGUUUUCAUUCUCCUUGCAUUUGGAGCACACUCACGGUGGUGACAGCCUAUGGUGGCUUCGAUUGCGAGUUUUGUUCGAUUUAUGCAACUUCUUCCCUACGCCGCGCAAGCUCCAUAGACAGAACCCUUUCGUGCUUCCUUAUGCCUCAGUUUCGCCGUCAUCGUCGCUGUAGAACGACUUUCUUUCUCAUUUUUCAUAAUCAAGGUACUUUUUUUUGCUUUCAUAUUUGAUCUAUUUCAGAACGCGGGUUGUCGCGUCUUCUCCGUUGUUGUCUGGUUUUUCACACUCCCAAGUUCUUAUUAUUGUGUUUUUUAAUUUUAUUUUAAUAAUUUUAAUUUUUUUUUAUGUUGAAUAUAAAUAAGUAUGUAUGAUUGAAUGUUUGAGUUGAUCAUUUGAAUGCUUAUAAAUUGUAUGAUUGAAUUUAUUGUAUGUUGAAUAUAUUGUAUAAUUGUA